CUCAGAUCAUGUAAGAUUUUAAUGAUCGAACAGAUCAAAAUUUUAAACUUUUGCAUUUAAAUUUUAUCUUAAUCCAACAUCGAGGUCGCAAACUUUUUUUUUUAUUUGAACUAAAAAAAAAUAUUACGCUGUUAUCCCUAAGGUAAUUUUUUCUUAUAAUCAUUAUUAAUGGAUCAUUUAAUCAUUUAUUUAUGUUUAAUUUUUAAAAAAAGUUAAUUUAAUUUUUCUAUCACCCCAAUAUAAUAAUUAAUUUUAUUUUAAUAAAAAUUUUUAUAUAAUUUUAAAAUAAAAAUAAAUAUAAAACUCUAUAGGGUCUUCUCGUCUUUUAAAAUUAAUUUAGCUUUUUAACUAAAAAAUAAACUUCUAAAAAUAAAUAAGAGACAGUUUAUAUUUCAUCAAAUCUUUCAUACAAGUUUUCAAUUAAAAAACUAUUGAUUAUGCUACCUUUGUACAGUCAUUAUACUGCAGCCCUUUAAUUAUUAUCAGUGGGCAGAUUAGACCUUAAAUUAUAUUCAAAAAGACAUGUUU
rnacentral:rRNA from 1 species